GGUUAGACGAAGAAUUCAAAUAGAAUUAAUGUUUAGUUUAGUUAACGUUGAGUUUUUUGAGUUAUUCUGGUUUUUUUAAUGGGUAAAAUCAAAAUAAAAAAUUGCUAUCUCUCAAAAUAAAUUAAAGGAACUAAAAAUCUCUGAUCAUAAACCAGGAUUAGAUACCCUGUUAUUCUGAGUUAUAAAAAGACAGGGUAGUAAAAGUUGUUCUUCAAACCCAAAGAUUUUGGCGGCACCUUAUCCAAAUAGAGGAGCUUGUCCCUUAAUCGAUAGUCCUCGUUUUAUCUUUCCUUUGCUUGUUUAGUUUGUAUACCGCCGUUGUCAGAUUACUUUUAGAGAAUGUUUUCAAAUUAAAGAAUUUUUUCACUUCAGGUCAAGGUGCAGUUUAUGUCAAGGUGGAGAUGAGCUACAAUUUUCUCUAGAAAGACGAAUGCUAAGUUUUGAACUUGGUUGAAGGUGGAUUUAUUAGUAAAGAAAUUUAAGUAAGAUUUCUUGAAUAGGGUAAUAAGGUGUGUACAUAUCGCCCGUC
rnacentral:rRNA from 1 species